GAAUAAACAACCGCACCAACAUCGCUUUUACCCUUUAGUUAUAUUUUUAACUACAAGUGAAAGGACGCGUCACAGCAACAUCAACCCAAUAAUAUACAAAAGUCUUCAAACGCCAGAAACAAAUCAUCAACAACAACAGGUUAAUAUAAAUAAUAUUGUUCGAAAAUUUGUACCCAAUUUUUUCCCAUAUACAUUUGUACACAUACACCCUAGUACAUAAAAUAAAAAAUUUAUAAAGAAUUCAAAUUAACCCAUUUUUUCUUAUUUCGGAAUCGGCCACAUAUCGUCGACAUACCCCGACAUUUUGGUCCUUCGAGCCGGAUACAAAAAAAAAACCCCCUAACAGUUGCAGAAGCUAUAUACUUAAAAGCAGAAGCUAACAACAACCUGUAAUACACAACCCACUGAACCUUACAUCAAAAUCCACACGGAAAACUGCGCGGAUGUCCUUCCGACCUCUACUCGGACAACGGAACAAACUUCGUAGGCGCUGCCAAAGUAUUACUCAAAGAUCGCCGAGAAUUUCUCAAAACUCUACAAACCCAAGUAAUAGCCAGUUAUGAACACCAAAACAUCAAUUGGCACUUUAAUCCCCCAGGAGCUCCACACAUGGGUGGACUAUGGGAGGCAGGUGUAAAAAAUUUCAAAACCCAUUUAAAAAAAGUAUCCCAAACUCAAAAAUUUACCUUCGAGGAACUAGCUACUCUAUUAUCCCGCAUAGAAAGUUGCUUGAACUCUCGUCCUUUAAGUCCCUCAAAUGAUGACCCAACAAAUUUAGAACCCUUAACCCCAGGACACUUUUUAAUAGGUACGCCACUAUUAACACCCGCCGAACUCAACUUAGAAGAUACAAAAUUACGAAUGGAAAUUGGGCCGAAUAAAAAAGGUGUACUUCGGUUCAGAUAAUAGGACCCGAGUGGUUGACAUUCGUACCACCCAAGGUACAAUCACGCGUCCCAUAACAAAAUUAGUUAUAUUACCGAAUAAUUAAAAAGUUUCCUUUUCAUAGGAUCAGGGCCCCCCAAACUCCAGAAGGAAAAGCACUUCAUCGAUCAACACCAUUCGCCGAGACAGCCCAACGUUGAGCAUCCGCUCCCUCAGCACGACCCGCAGUAUGUCACCACUCUCGGACGAAAAUACUCUAAGAGCUUUAGCAAUUCGCUCCCGACGAUUCCGUGCGACUCUUUCUCCCAUCCAAGAAGAGAAAGAUAGUCACAUCCACCGCACAGCACGUCCCACCAUAUCUAGCAUUACCCGACAUAAAUACAAUGCACACCAACACGUUGCAUGUGGGAUAUGCAAGAAAGAAGACUGGUGACAUGCUCAAAGUACAUAGCCAUGAACAUCGAGCAAAAGUUUUAAGCAGUAACGAAACAUAAAUAUUGCAUUAAUUGCUUGUCCAGAUUGCACCGGACAAAGGAUUAAACGAGUGAGAAGAGGUGUUCCACAUGCAAUGGAAAGCAUCAUUGCACCCUGCUCCACCCAAGAUUAUAUACUCAUGUCGCGAAAACGAAGGGAGACCGAAAGGUCGAAACCCAUCCCUUUACCUCAAAUACAGGACCCCCCUCAUUACUGGCCAAGCAGACCCUAAUACCAACGGCAUUCAUCCGCAUAAAACACGAUGAAAAAUAGCAUAAGGUCAAAGCCAUGAUAAAUCCGACCCAAAGAUUAAGCACCAUCAGCUCAGAAUUAGUGAGAAGAUUGAGGUUGCCGAUAACAUAUUUGAAUGAAUAUCGUAUCUGCUAUCUCAAAAUCGGAUCGCUAACCGACGAGCAGUUGCGACUUGAAGCUCACGUCUUAAUCUCGAAAGAUUUACCCACACGACCCUAUGAGCAGGACAUAAGUGACGAGAUUCGAAAACGUUUCGACCACUUAGUCCUCGCUGACCCUUCUUUCAACAGAAAAGACCGCGUAAUGAUAACACUUGGAGCGGAUAUAUAUCCACGUAUCAUAAAAUCCGGCAUAUUCCACCCUUGUCGCCCAAAACACUGCGAUUGGAUGGACUUUAACUGGAACCAUAAACUAGACCCUAAGUACAACUAAACACCUCAGCAAUUACACAAUUAUUAUGCCAGUUAUUUUACACCAAAUUAACCCAUUUUUAUUCGCAGAUACUGCAAGGCGGCCGGGAUGUUUAUUCUAAACAAACACAUCCCUGCAUUGUCCUCUUAUAUUCUGAAAAGCGAAAGAAGGACAAUGCAGGAAUAAACAACCGCACCAACAUCGCUUUUACCCUUUAGUUAUAUUUUUAACUACAAGUGAAAGGACGCGUCACAGCAACAUCAACCCAAUAAUAUACAAAAGUCUUCAAACGCCAGAAACAAAUCAUCAACAACAACAGACUAACUCAAUUUGAACCAUGGAAAGAUACACAAUCGAGCAACGCGUUAAAGGUAUUCAGGCUUAUUAUGAAAACGGGCGAUCAAAUCAAAAUGCAUAUCGCGCACUUCGUAAUUUGUUCGGUCAAUUUAAUCGUCCAAAUAUGCGUACAAUCGAAAAAUUGUGCAAAAGUUUGAGCAAACCGGGUCUGUAGGAGAUGUGAAACCACCAUUGCAUGCUCGUACAGCUCGUACUUCAGAAAAUAUUGCUACUGUUCGCGAUAGAGUGGUUAAGAGCCGUCCAUCUCAACCCGACGUCGUGCCCAACAAUUGCACCUCUCACGCCCGUGGUUGAUGAACAUUAUGCAUAAAGACUUGCAUUUACACGCUUACAAGGUGCAAUUGACUCAAGAAUUAAAGCCUCUUGACCAUUUCAAGCGUCGUCAAUGGUCAGAAUGGUGGCAGGAAAUGGCAACAGUGAAUGACCAAUUUUCGAAGAAACUCAUCCUCAGUGAUGAGGAACAUUUUCACCUUAGUGGAUUCGUCAAUAAGCAGAACUGCCGCAUUGGGGCGAAUGAUAAUCCAAGAGUAAUUGCCGAAAAACCAAUGCUACCACAAAGAGUGACUGUUUGGUGCGGUACAUAGAACCUCAAUUAUGCCUCAGCGUCAUCGAAAAUUUGGACCAAUAUUAUCAUAAU